rnacentral:lncRNA from 1 species
UCAACGCCAGAUGACUCAAUUCUUUGACAGGUCUUGGGUGCGCUCAGGCCUGGGAUUGUUUGAAUCUGGUUUGAGUGAGGUUGUUGUUAUGUUUGGCAUCUCACGAAGUUGGGAGAAUUCUGCACAACGGCUCGAGAAGAUUGAGUAUUUUCUUCUUGAUGCUUAAGCCAAGGAGAAUGAAGCCAUCGUCCGAAUUGCUUUGAUCAAGGAAGUGCUUGCUAUGAUAGAGAGGUGGAAGACAGAGAUGACGUUGUCCUUCAAGCAAGAUAGUGUCUCCUUUCAUAUUGUCCGAGGUGUAAUCCCAGAAUUCAAAAGAGAUUUUGACAAACAUAAAGUUGCACAUGUUGAUGAGGAAAUGCUGCGGAAUUUUGAAGACUUCAGAGUCACUUUUGAUCUCUGCUCAGAGAACUUUGGAGGAUCAAGACCCAUUUACUUAGUAUUGGUGCAAACCGCAGUUUCUAUCAUUUCUCUCUUGAUGAUUCUUAUUUGGUUUGUGAUGGAUAUUUUGACAUCUUCUCCAAAUGCUUGUGCUUCUUUUGAUGGCUUGAUUUUCUUCCCAAUUUGAGACAUAUUCGGCUUCAUAUAAUCAACUUAAAUCAUAACUUUGAUGAUAUAAAUUGAAAAGAGCCAAACACAAUUCAUGACUGAACUUAGAAAUUAUCUAAGCUGCCUACGUACCCUUUUGAAAGGGAUCAAGUCAAAACGUAGUUCAUAUGAUCAACGGGUGUUUGAGAUUGGGUGCCGUGCACAGUUUAUACUCAUGCGGGCCAGGAGUAACAUGCAGUUUAGGCUCGUGCGUCAAGGAGCUGUCUUCAUACACUCCAUUUUGUUUGCUUUUCUCCAUUUCUGGUUUUUCAUCUGACUCAUUUUUUUGGCUUUUCUGCUUUUCUAUUUUUUUUUGGCUUUUCAUGCUUUCCUAUUUUUUUUUCUGUUUUUCUAUUUUUUGGCUUUUUUUUUUAAAUAACUAUACACAUAUAUACAUGCUUCAACUUCUACCACCCUUCAAGGAUAGUAGUACUUCAAGAACUUUCCG